CUUACUGGUGGGCUUGGCAACAAUGUCCACGCCCGUCACUUGGCACUGGAACCACGACCCAUCCUUGCCAGACACAAUGAAGGGGGAGCUGCCGGCGGGCUGCUGCGGGGCAGGGCUGCUGGGGGAGAGAGGGGUCCCCCAGCUCCCCCACCUCCCCCUGCUGCUCCGAGGCCAUCACCAGGCCCAGCGCAGGGGACGGCCAGGCAGAGAGGUCACACAGCGCCUCGUCCACGGCCUCAGGACUCCCCAAGAGGUCACACAGGGUCAGGUAAAGCUGUGACGCUCGGAAGACCCCCAGACGGUCUAGGCUUUGGAAGGCCAGGAUGCGGCCAAGAGGAGACCGUUCACUGAGUCUGCCGGUGGUGGUGGCAGUGGUGGUGCUGGUGGUGGUGGUGCUGGUGGUGGAGGUGGUGGAGGUGGUGGUGGUGUUGGAGAAGGUGAAGGUAAGGGCUGCGAUGAUGGUGUCUCGGAGGUAAUGGAAGGGUUGAGUCUCAUCUACUGGUUGUCCAUCCUGUGGUGGGAGGCAGGGUGACAGUGAGGCAGGGUGGCAGUGAGGCAGGGUGACAGUAAGAAAGGGUGAGUUUUGAGUGAGGGAAAAUACAAUAUGAUGAUUUUAGAGUAAGGAAGAAUAAAAAAGGUGGUUUUAGAGAGAGAGUGAGCGAGGUAGGGUGAGGUGCAGUGAGAUUCAGAUAAGGUAAGGUAGUGUGAGAGUGGGAUAAGGUGAGAUAAGGUGAGGGAGUGGAGGUGCAGGGUGAUCUUAGGUUGAGGGAUAAUAGAAUAAUUGACUUUAGGAUAAAGAAAUAUACUUAAUGCAUGUAAGAUUAUGCAGUGGGUGACAUUUAGGGUGAAGUAGCACAGGUAUGAUAAAGAGGUAACAUUAGGGUGAAGGAGCAUAGGUAGACGGCUGCUGUAGGGUCAGAAAGAGGCUAUAUAGGGUGAAAUGUGGCUUAGGGAUGAAGGAAUGUAGGGUGCUGAGUGACUUUAGGGUGAAGGAAGAUAAAAAGGGUGUGAUGGAGGGUGAUCUUAGGGUGACUGGAUAGAAUUACUGGGUUUAGGGUGAGUUAGGGUAGAGAUGUUUUUUUUUAGGGUGAGGAAAGACAGGGAGGGUGAGAUUGGUGAGUGGGGGAGUGUAUUGUAGGGUGAAAUAGAUGCAAGUUUGGGGAGUAAGGUGUCAUAGAUAGAAAGAUAGAUAGAUAUAGAUAGAUAGAUAUAUAGGUAGAUACAUAAUGGAUAGGUAUGCUUAGAUAUAUAUAGAUGCAAAGAUAGAUAAAUAGAUAAAUAAACAGGAUAAAAAUUUGAAUCAAUACACUACAUUAAUAAAAGAUACAGGUAGACAUAUUAAUAGGAAACAGUAUUUUGAAUCAACAUAUAAAUAAAAAAAAUAAAUAAAAAAAAAAACUUGGAGAAAAAAACUUGGAAAAAAAAAAAAACUCGCUCUCUCUCUCUGCUAUACUCACAACAAACACUUUAAAAUUAUUCUGUGGUGCCAGGAUGAGGUUGUCCACUGCCCUGCGCAUCCUGUCCACAUUCCUGAAGAGAGGGCAUCAUCAAUAUUCUCAUCACUAUCAUCAACACUAUUAUCAUCAUCACUAUCACUAACAUUAUCAUUAUUGGUAUCUAUUUCUCCCUAUCAUUAGUGUACUCAUCAUUAUCAAUACUCACAAUAUUAAUAUUAUCAUCCUGUCAUUAUCAUCAUUGUCACUUUCACUAUAAAUUUUCUCAUUAUUAGUUAUUAUCAUUAUUUAUUUAUCUAUUUUUUAUCAUUGUCAUUACUACUCUCAUGAUUGUUCUGUCAUUAUCAUCAUCAUCAUCAUCAUCCUCACUACAACUAUUCUGUCACUAUUAGGAUCUACUUCUCUCUUUUGUUAGUAUAUCACUGCUACUUUCACUAUCAUUCCUGUUAUUAUCUUUGUUUCACCAUCAUCAUGCUUACCCUGAGAAGAGGUCAAGAGGACAGUAACCACUCCGACUGCCACUUUCCUUCCCGGCCUGAGGAAAAAUCACUACCAUUGUAAACAUCACCAUCAUCACCAUCAAUGAAAUCUAAGGCACCAUCAUUUGUAAUAUACUAAAUGAACUUCUGUCUAUCCCCCUUUUCAAGAAAAAGGAGAGGCCACAGUAUCUCAAUCUUAGGAACACCCCUUUUUUGGCUCUACAAGAAUAACCAUCUUCUGUUUUUUUCUCAUUUUUCUUUCAUAUAACUUUCUUUUCUCCCCAUCUCCUCUUCACCCUCUGAUUUCACAAUACAGGGGCACCUUCACCCUGUCCCUUACUCCUUCACCCUUCACAAACACAGGGGAUCACAGUCACUCACCUUAAGGGCCUACAGACAGCCUCACCCUUCUUCCCUGUCAUCCUCACACAACAGCCUCACCCUACCCUGUCAUCCUGAACAGCCUCACCCUACCCUGUCACCCUGAACAGCCUCACCCUUCCCUGUCACCCUCAAAACACCCUCUUCCUUCCAUCACCCUCACAAAACACCCUUACCCAUCCCUAUCACCCACACACAACACCCACAACCUUUCCUACCACCCAGAUCACCCUUCCCCCUUCCCUAUCACCUUUCUCCAUCACCCACACAAACAGAGGGGCCCACAGUCACUCACCUUUAGGAACUGCUUCACACAGUACCUACACAGAGGCAUGCCUGGCGUAGACCUAUCUAGGAAUCCCUGUUUAGGCUUAAUCUCUAUGCACAUGUUCCUCGCCUCCCUUGGGUACUGCUGUCCCACACCACACUUCUGGCGGGCGCAGGUGUGGGUGGUGUGGGCGUGGUGGUGUCGUGGCGGGGGAUGAAGAUGGUGGUGGCGUCAGGGCAGAUGCAGGCGACCCCAUGAGUGUUGAUCUCCUUGCCCUCUCUGUCUCCUGUGGGGGUUGUGGGAGUUGGUGAUGUGUUGUGGGUACUGUUGUGGCUGUUGUUGUUGUGAUUGUUACUGGUAAUACUGUUGUUGUUAUUGUAUCAUUGUUAUUUUUGUCAAUGUCUCACUGUUAUCAUCUCUUUCAUUAUUAUUCUGAUUCAUUUUGUUACUAUUUCAUUAUCAUCUCUUAUCAUCAUUUUUUUGUACCUCUCCUCCAGGGCAGCAGGGUGUCGCUGAGUGCCGAGUCAGGGCGCGGGGACACCAGCACAAGGUGGGCGGCGUCAGUCAGCAGGCGUCCCAGCACGGGCCGCCCCACCCUGGCCAGCACCUCCAGGUCCCGUGCUGCCCGCCGCACCAGCUCCUCCCUACUCAGCCCACUGCCGAUGCUGGUCUUGCGCAACCGCACCACACGUCCCUGGGCCAGAGAAGCGCCAUCUGUAGACUGGUUGCAACAUUCCCAAGAAUAAAAGGAAUGUUGUUGGCAUCUUCUGGUGAGGUGUGCCGCGUUUCACCUGCGUGUCCUUGGUCCAGUCUUGACCUUCGUGCGCAAGCCAGCCUCCCAUCGUUGCUCCACUCCAGGGCGCCUCCAAAAUAAGGUAAUUAAUUGUGGUAAGGUGGUUUGUAAGGUGUAAGUUGAAAGCAGGUAGUUAUGGACCUGUUAAGAUUGUUAGAUGGUUCUGUUUAUUUUC